AUAAUUUGUGGUACUUGCUGAUUCUUACUGCGAUGAUUCUGGCUGUAUGUUGCCUGUGCUUGUUUGUGUUUCAGAAUAUCUGGUCUAAAUUCUUAACAGCUAACUCAUACAUUUGUUUUAGAUAGUAAUAUCUUGUUCCUUUCAUAGAAUGAUAGCAGUAUCUUGUUCUUUCAUAGAAUUUAAAAUCAGGAGGGUCAUUACUGGUUUUGGACAGUGCUGUGUGAUGAUAAUGUGAAAUAGUGCAGGAUUGAUCUUAAUAAAAGCAUAUUAUUCCUAAAGAAAGAGUGUUAUUGAAUAACCAUCAGGUGGACCAUUUUUCCUUUUGAAUGAGAAUGCUCUAUAGUUCAGUAUUGUGACAUAUUACCUCUCAUAGGCUAACAGAGACCCUGAUGCUGGAAUUGAUGAAGCUCAAGUUGAACAAGAUGCUCAGGCUUUAUUUCAGGCUGGAGAACUUAAAUGGGGGACAGAUGAAGAAAAGUUUAUCACCAUCUUUGGAACACGAAGUGUGUCUCAUUUGAGAAAGGUGUUUGACAAGUACAUGACUAUAUCAGGAUUUCAAAUUGAGGAAACCAUUGACCGCGAGACUUCUGGCAAUUUAGAGCAACUACUCCUUGCUGUUGUGAAAUCUAUUCGAAGUAUACCUGCCUACCUUGCAGAGACCCUCUAUUAUGCUAUGAAGGGAGCUGGGACAGAUGAUCAUACCCUCAUCAGAGUCAUGGUUUCCAGGAGUGAGAUUGAUCUGUUUAACAUCAGGAAGGAGUUUAGGAAGAAUUUUGCCACCUCUCUUUAUUCCAUGAUUAAGGGAGAUACAUCUGGGGACUAUAAGAAAGCUCUUCUGCUGCUCUGUGGAGAAGAUGACUAACGUGUCAAGGGGAAGAGCUCCCUGCUGUGUGCCUGCACCGCCCCACUGCCUUCCUUCAGCACCUUUAGCUGCAUUUGUAUGCCAGUGCUUGACACAUUGCCUUAUUCAUACUAGCAUGCUCACGACCAACACAUACACGUCAUAGAAGAAAAUAGUGGUGCUUCCUUCUGAUCUCUAGUGGAGAUCUCUUUGCUGUAGUACUAAAGUGUACUUAAUGU
rnacentral:sRNA from 1 species